GAUGAACGCUGGCGGCGUGCUUAACACAUGCAAGUCGAACGGAAAGGCCCAAGCUUGCUUGGGUACUCGAGUGGCGAACGGGUGAGUAACACGUGGGUGAUCUGCCCUGCAAUUCGGGAUAAGCCUGGGAAACUGGGUCUCUUACCGGAUAGGACCACUUCUUGGAUGUUGUGGUGGAAAGUUUUCUCGGUGUGGGAUGAGCUCGCGGCCUAUCCGCUUGUUGGUGGGGUAAUGGCCUAACAAGGCGUCGACGGGUAGCCGGCCUGAGAGGGUGUACGGCCACAUUGGAACUGAGAUACAGCCCAGACUCCUACGGGAGGCAGCAGUGGGGAAUAUUGCACAAUGGGCGCAAGCCUGAUGCAGCGACGCCGCGUGGGGGAUGACGGCCUUCGGGUUGUAAACUCCUUUCGCUAGGGACGAAGCGUUUUUGUGACGGUACCUGGAGAAGAAGCACCGGCUAACUACGUG
rnacentral:rRNA from 1 species